AUUCAUUUUUCUGCUGGCAACAGUUCUACCUUGAAGAUGUUAAAAUUGAACAACCUUCUUUAACUUUUCUGGAGGCCACAAGGAAUUGCCAUCUGCAUCUCCCUUCCUGAUCGGAUGCCUCGUUGCAAGGAGAAAGCAUUCCUGGGUUCUUGAAGGCUACUCCAGUGGAGGGCAAGCUGGACAUACUUCCAGGGGCAGCCUGACCAUGAGCUGUGUCGCUUUCAUCACACCAGCCCAGCUAAACUGAGUGAGAGACUCCGUCACUCAAAGAUGGGCCAAUAGAAAUUUGGGCCAGAUGGGGUGGCACACUCCUUGGAUCCCAGCUAUAAUGGGGGCUGAGGCAACUGGAUCUCUUGAACUCGGAGUUCUGACCUUCAAAGGGCUAUGCCGAUCAAGUAUCCACGUUAACUUGGGCAUCAAUAUGUUCCAUAUAGAAGCACUUGAACUCUGGUUAUGAAUUGACAAUGACCCAAAGCAUAACUUGAACCAAGAUGUUACUUUCAAAGGCUCACAAUGAGGAUUGAGGAUGACCUAGGC
rnacentral:lncRNA from 1 species